rnacentral:rRNA from 1 species
AAACUUGAGAGUUUGAUCAUGGCUCAGAACGUACGCUGGCGGCACGCCUAACACAUGCAAGUCGAACGAAGUAGCAAUACUUAGUGGCAGACGGGUGAGUAACAUGUAGGUAUCUGCCCUUUGGCCUGGAAUAACACGAGGAAACUUGUGCUAAUACCGGAUAAGUCUUUACGGAGAAAGCUUUAUGCACCAUUGGAUGAGCCUGCACUUGAUUAGUUUGUUGGUGGGGUAAUGGCCUACCAAGACUGUGAUCAAUAGCUGAUUUGAGAGGAUGAUCAGCCACAUUGGGACUGAGACACGGCCCAAACUCCUACGGGAGGCAGCAGUGGGGAAUCUUGCACAAUGGAGGAAACUCUGAUGCAGCGAUGCCGCGUGAGUGAAGAAGGCCUUUGGGUUGUAAAGCUCUUUCGUCGGGGAAGAAAAUGACUGUACCCGAAUAAGAAGGUCCGGCUAACUUCGUGCCAGCAGCCGCGGUAAUACGAAGGGACCUAGCGUAGUUCGGAAUUACUGGGCUUAAAGAGUUCGUAGGUGGUUGAAAAAGUUGGUGGUGAAAUCCCAGAGCUUAACUCUGGAACUGCCAUCAAAACUUUUCAGCUAGAGUAUGAUAGAGGAAAGCAGAAUUUCUAGUGUAGAGGUGAAAUUCGUAGAUAUUAGAAAGAAUACCAAUUGCGAAGGCAGCUUUCUGGAUCAUUACUGACACUGAGGAACGAAAGCAUGGGUAGCGAAGAGGAUUAGAUACCCUCGUAGUCCAUGCCGUAAACGAUGUGUGUUAGACGUUGGAAAUUUAUUUUCAGUGUCGCAGCGAAAGCGAUAAACACACCGCCUGGGGAGUACGACCGCAAGGUUAAAACUCAAAUGAAUUGACGGGGACCCGCACAAGUAGUGGAGCAUGUGGUUUAAUUCGAAGAUACGCGCAGAACCUUACCAACACUUGACAUGUUCGUCGCGACUCUAAGAGAUUAGAGUUUUCGGUUCGGCCGGACGAAACACAGGUGCUGCAUGGCUGUCGUCAGCUCGUGUCGUGAGAUGUUGGGUUAAGUCCCGCAACGAGCGCAACCCUCACUUUUAGUUGCCAUCAUUAAGUUGGGCACUCUGAAAGAACUGCCAGUGAUAAGCUGGAGGAAGGUGGGGAUGACGUCAAGUCCUCAUGGCCCUUACGUGUUGGGCUACACACGUGCUACAAUGGUAUCUACAACAGGAAGCAAGACUGCGAGGUCAAGCAAAUCCUUAAAAGAUACCUCAGUUCGGAUUGCACUCUGCAACUCGAGUGCAUGAAGCUGGAAUUACUAGUAAUCGUGGAUCAGCGUGCCACGGUGAAUGCGUUCCCGGGUCUUGUACACACCGCCCGUCACACCAUGGGAGUUGGUUCUACCUUAAGGCAAGGUUUCAAACCCUUGACCACGGUAUAGUCAGCGACUGGGGUGAAGUCGUAACAAGGUAGCCGUAGGGGAACCUGCGGCUGGAUUACCUCCUUU